rnacentral:rRNA from 1 species
CCAGACUCCUACGGGAGGCAGCAGUGGGGAAUAUUGGACAAUGGGGGGAACCCUGAUCCAGCGACGCCGCGUGAGUGAAGAAGUAUUUCGGUAUGUAAAGCUCUAUCAGCAGGGAAGAAAGAAAUGACGGUACCUGACUAAGAAGCCCCGGCUAACUACGUGCCAGCAGCCGCGGUAAUACGUAGGGGGCAAGCGUUAUCCGGAUUUACUGGGUGUAAAGGGAGCGUAGACGGCGAUGCAAGUCUGAAGUGAAAGGCGGGGGCCCAACCCCCGGACUGCUCUUGGAACUGCGUGGCUGGAGUGCAGGAGGGGCAGGCGGAAUUCCUGGUGUAGCGGUGAAAUGCGUAGAUAUCAGGAGGAACACCGGUGGCGAAGGCGGCCUACUGGACGGUGACUGACGCUGAGGCUCGAAAGCGUGGGGAGCAAACAGGAUUAGAUACCCGGGUAC